UACGUAGGGUGCGAGCGUUAAUCGGAUUUACUGGGCGUAAAGGGCGCGCAGGCGGAUAUGCAAGUCUGCUGUGUAAUGUCACGGCUCAACCGUGGGACUGCGCUGGAAACUACACGGCUUGAGGACGGUAGAGGGAGACGGAACUGCUGGUGUAGGGGUGAAAUCCGUAGAUAUCAGCAGGAACGCCGGUGGAGAAGUCGGUCUCCUGGGCCGUUCCUGACGCUGAGGCCCGAAAGCUAGGGGAGCAAACCGG
rnacentral:rRNA from 1 species